rnacentral:rRNA from 1 species
GAUGAACGCUGGCGGCGUGCCUAACACAUGCAAGUCGAGCGAUUCUCCUCGGAGAAGAGCGGCGGACGGGUGAGUAACGCGUGGGUAACCUGCCCUGUACACACGGAUAACAUACCGAAAGGUAUGCUAAUACGAGAUAAUAUGCUUUUAUCGCAUGGUAGAAGUAUCAAAGCUCCGGCGGUACAGGAUGGACCCGCGUCUGAUUAGCUAGUUGGUAAGGUAACGGCUUACCAAGGCGACGAUCAGUAGCCGACCUGAGAGGGUGAUAGGCCAAAGGGGAACUGAGACACGGUCCAAACUCCAACGGGAGGCAGCAGUGGGGAAUAUUGCACAAUGGGCGAAAGCCAGAUGCAGCAACGCCGCGUGAGCGAUGAAGGCCUUCGGGUCGUAAAGCUCUGUCCUCAAGGAAGAUAAUGACGGUACUUGAGGAGGAAGCCCCGGCUAACUACGUGCCAGCCGCCGCGGUAAUAC